UACGGGGGGGGCAAGCGUUGUUCGGAAUUACUGGGCGUAAAGCGCGUGUAGGCGGCUUUUCAAGUCGGACGUGAAAGCCCCAGGCUUAACCUGGGAAUUGCGCUCGAUACUGGAAGGCUUGAGUGCGGGAGAGGGAUGUGGAAUUCCAGGUGUAGCGGUGAAAUGCGUAGAUAUCUGGAGGAACACCGGUGGCGAAGGCGGCAUCCUGGACCGACACUAACGCUGAGGCGCGAAAGCCAGGGGAGCAAACGGG
rnacentral:rRNA from 1 species